rnacentral:rRNA from 1 species
UACGGAGGGUGCAAGCGUUAUCCGGAUUUACUGGGUUUAAAGGGUGCGCAGGCGGAUAUGUAAGUCAGUGGUGAAAUCUUCCCGCUUAACGGGAAAACUGCCAUUGAUACUAUAUAUCUUGAAUGCUGUGGAGGUAAGCAGAAUAUGUCAUGUAGCGGUGAAAUGCUUAGAGAUGACAUAGAAUACCUAUUGCGAAGGCAGCUUACUACGCAGAUAUUGACGCUCAUGCACGAAAGCGUGGGGAUCAAACAGG